UCAGACAGGCCCAGAUUGAGGUGGUGCCAUCUGCUUCUGCCUUGAUCAUCAAAGCCCUCAAGGAACCACCAAGAGAUAGAAAGAAACAAAAAAACAUUAAACACAAUGGAAAUAUCACGUUUGAUGAGAUCGUCAACAUUGCCCGACAGAUGCGGCACAGAUCUUUAGCCAGAGAACUCUCUGGAACCAUUAAAGAGAUCCUGGGGACUGCCCAGUCUGUGGGCUGCAACGUUGAUGGCCGCCACCCUCAUGACAUAAUAGAUGACAUCAACAGUGGUGCAGUGGAAUGUCCAGGUAGUUAAGUACAAAGGAAAAUAUUUUAAUAAAGGAUCCUUUGACUACACGUGGC